UACGUAGGGUCCGAGCGUUGUCCGGAAUUAUUGGGCGUAAAGGGCUCGUAGGCGGUUUGUCGCGUCGGGGAGUGAAAACACGGGGCUUAACCCCGUGCCUGCUUCCGAUACGGGCAGACUAGAGGUAUGCAGGGGAGAACGGAAUUCCUGGUGUAGCGGUGAAAUGCGCAGAUAUCAGGAGGAACACCGGUGGCGAAGGCGGUUCUCUGGGCAUUACCUGACGCUGAGGAGCGAAAGCAUGGGGAGCGAACAGG
rnacentral:rRNA from 1 species